GUAUGGUGGGGGAACUUAUGGUUGGAAUCGGCUAUCUCGGCUGAAGCCAGUGGUCGGCUAUGAUCAGCGCUGCCUGGUGGACAAUUGGGUGAACUAUGAGCUAUAAACGGUUUGAAAAUUUUCUAAGUCCGAUUGCACUUUGCUUAUGUGACUCGCCUGAAGGAUACACUUGGCUUGAUGAGUUCCUUCUAAACUUGGAACCAGUGGAAUAUAUGUUCAAGUUAUCAUUAUAGAACACAAACAGACGCCUUUUAAAAUUCUCUUACUUCUCUGCUAUUGCUAACUAGUGUUGCAAGGUUGCAAGGUGUGGCACGAUACUCGAUACCCAACUCAAUCGAUACUUAUUUGGUGCGAGCCGACUGACGUGAACAAAGCUUCUAAGCCAUUAAAACUGGUCUUGAUUUCAUCCAACCGGCCAACCGGAACUGCCCGACAUUAGAGAUGUGAAUCUGAGUCAGACUAUUGAAGAGAUUCAAGAACCUCUCGCCAAAUGAUGCAUACCCUACCGUUGCUGGAUGCUAUGCUAUGCAUCAUGAUCACCCUCAUUCGUUUCUGCCUGUUAAGUUUGACUGCCGGAUUUAUCACUGGAAUACUCAACGGCUGGGACCAAGAUAAUUAGAUUAAUGCCGUUUGGGGUGCAACCGCAGCUUAUUCACUCCGACAUUCCCCCGCUGUCCCUGACUCCCUACAGCCCUUUCAAAUUUAAAAUCAUCUUGAGAAUGUCGAACGUGGUAUUUUUGUAAACCAUAUUUUAUUCUUUACAAGUUACAAUACAAUCGGACUCCGGAGCGGAGUACUUUGAA